CCUACGGGUGGCUGCAGUGAGGAAUAUUGGUCAAUGGUCGGGAGACUGAACCAGCCAAGCCGCGUGAGGGAUGAAGGUACAGUGUAUCGUAAACUUCUUUUGUCAGGGAACAAAGGCGUGGACGUGUCCCCGGUUGAGUGUACCUGAAGAAAAAGCAUCGGCUAACUCCGUGCCAGCAGCCGCGGUAAUACGGAGGAUGCGAGCGUUAUCCGGAUUUAUUGGGUUUAAAGGGUGCGCAGGCGGUCUGUUAAGUCAGCUGUUAAAGGCCGGGGCUCAACCCCGGCCCCGCCGUUGAAACGGGCAGUCUCGAGUUGGAGAGAGGUAUGCGGAAUGCGCGGGGUAGCGGUGAAAUGCAUAGAUAUCGCGCAGAACUCCGAUUGCGAAGGCAGCAUGCCGGCUCCACACUGACGCUGAGGCACGAAAGCGUGGGUAUCGAACAGGAUUAGAUACCCGGGUAGUC
rnacentral:rRNA from 1 species